AAACACAAGAGAGUUCGAGAUGUAACGCCAUGGGGUAGGAGCCUGGAACUAUUCUCUGACUCCAAGAUGGCGGAGUUCAUGAAGGUAUGACCCUCUAAGACUGAUGACCUGAGUUCAGUUCCUGGAACCUGCCAGUUAGAAGAUGACAACUGAUGUUGGAAGCUGUCCUGUGAGUCCUACAUGCAAGCUGUACAUGUGUGCACACACAUCCACACGCACAAAUAAGUCAUUCAUAACCAGAAAAACAAAGAAGUAUACAUUUAUGCCAAUAAAAAUAUGUAGAUGA